GGAUUUGCAUGUAAGAGUCCAAUGCGGAUAUUGGCAACUGUUCCCACCACCAACACCCCCAAAAGCAACAAGAAACACAAGGUGAGAGAUGGCGCGGCACUGAACAGCUCCCAGAGAAUAUAACGCAGUGGCGGGGAGCUGUACCGGUGAGAAGGAAGGCAGGCGGCUCCUGCACAGUGCCCGCUGUUAGUCCGCUCCAGCGCCUGGGAACGCACGCUAUCGCAACCAGGAAACAAGCCCCACUGAAAGCACCAGCUUGUUUACCUGCAGCACGUACGCAGCUAACUCGAACGCCGUCUCGCUGUCCACCUCAAUGUCGCCCUGUGGGGAAAUACAGAGACAGGAGUUGAACCAUCAGGCAGUAAGCAGUCUGCGGGCGAAUGGGAGCUCGGACAACCGGACUCUCCCGCUUUAACACAACCGAGGAGGAGGAGGGGGUGGUUACAAAACUCUCCGAUACUGACAAAGCUUCCAGCGCACUGAGCCGACUUCACGCCCACUCACAAAACACAAAGAUUAAAGCCUACACGCUGCAGCCACGGAACACUCUGAACCCAGUUUUCUGGUGUGCACUGCCCGCUACAACCCACCGCCUUCGGUUAAGGCAGUCUUGAGACACACAGUGGCCAUGUCAAGAGCUGCUUUCCACCCCACAAGAGACGGGAUAGUCACGACAGUGCCGGGCUCGCCUUUUGAAAACACCAUGGGAGGAAACCAGAACACACGGAGGUGGCCCACACAGACAUUGGAAGAAUGUGUCUCCACACAGUCCCCGAGGCUGGAAUCGAGCCGGGCCACUGGCGCUGAAAGGCAGCAGCGCGAAUCACUGAGCCACGUAACCUUGGUCAGAAAAAUCACCAACCAAUAAGCAGACGGCACAGGAGUAGGUCACUUUUCUCUUCUAUCUUCUUGGAAAAGAUGUCCUGACCUCCUAGCCUCAGCGCAGAUGCAGCGAGGCAUCAUCUUGGCCUGGCGUGACAGUCACUCAGCCUGG